rnacentral:rRNA from 1 species
UGCUCGAGUGGCGAACGGGUGAGUAACACGUGAGUAACCUGCCCUUGACUUUGGGAUAACUUCAGGAAACUGGGGCUAAUACCGGAUAGGAGCUCCUGCUGCAUGGUGGGGGUUGGAAAGUUUCGGCGGUUGGGGAUGGACUCGCGGCUUAUCAGCUUGUUGGUGGGGUAGUGGCUUACCAAGGCUUUGACGGGUAGCCGGCCUGAGAGGGUGACCGGCCACAUUGGGACUGAGAUACGGCCCAGACUCCUACGGGAGGCAGCAGUGGGGAAUAUUGCACAAUGGGCGGAAGCCUGAUGCAGCAACGCCGCGUGCGGGAUGACGGCCUUCGGGUUGUAAACCGCUUUCG